CUGUUCUUCUGGACAAGAAGAGGAGCAGUUGCAAGGGAGCAGAGUGCACUUUCCUGCUCUCAUUAGAUCAUGAGGUUUAAUUGGUGUGCUGGUCCCACACAGGAUUACCAUCAUCUGCCGUUUUCUGUUGAUUAAUGUAAGUCUCCUGUUUUCUGUGUUGCUGCUGGUAUUUUAUGGGAGAAGAAUACCUUAAUCUAUGCUAACUGCC